rnacentral:lncRNA from 1 species
CAGGGCUUCAAGGGACAGUCUUCUCUGCAGACACCAGCCUGGUGUCCUCCUUCAUCCCAGGCUGCCAGGCUAGGCAGGGGACAGCGGCUGCCCUGGUCCUCACAGCCCUGGCUACGGGGCUGGUGACAGCCAGAUCCUCAUGCUUCUGCGACCUGAGCGCUGCCUUCAGACACCUCUCUGCUGGCGUGUUCCUGGGUCCAUGAUGGAAGAAGGAAAAGUAUUUUUAAAAGACAAUCUGAAGCUCAUACUGUGACUGCAACAUAAAAUGUGUUCACCUGAGGAGACUGCUUUCAUCGCCAGUGUGUCACAGGGCAGCUGAUCCAGGACCGUCCACUUCCAAGCCAGCAGGAGGAUGGAAAAGCAGAAUGGAGGGGAAACAACCUCCUUUGCAGGGCGUGACUCGGAAGUUGGACACAUCAUUUCCAGCCACAUUCCAUGGACCAGAAUUAGCCCUGUGACCAACUCUGGCUGCCAGAAAAUCUGGGAAAUACAGUCUCUGCUUGGGCGAUCAGGCAGGCAGUUAUAUCUUUGGGAACAUCUCUCACCCCCUGGGAACACCUGAGCAGAAACUGAAGGACAUUUAACAGAUUCUCCUUUGUGUCUAAUAAGAAUUGCCCCCAUCAGUCGGGGCUGUCCUAGGUGCUGGGUACAUAGGUCAUCUAUACACAACCCAGCAAUGGAGAGCACACCAUUCCCAGGCUGCAGAUGCAGAAACUGUGGCUCGGAGAGUUAAGCGUCUUGUUCAGAUUCAGUCAGCUGGUAGAUGGCAGGUCUGGGAUUGAGACCCAGGCCUGGCUGGUCCUGCCAGGACACAGUAUCACAGCUUUGACUGGGAGCUUCUUUUUGUUUACAUAUAUUUUUUAUGCUCAAUGUGCAUUCCUUUUGAAAUACACAGAAAAGGGAAAGAAGCCGGAGUCCUGCCUUGUGUAGGAGGGAUAAGUUAGAGGUGUGCACCGGGAUAAAUCUGCCUCCCGCGCUGGCCCUGGCCCUGGCCCUGGCCCUGGCCCUGGCCCUGAUCCUGCUCCUGAUUCUGGUCCUUGGGGCCUGGGCGGCGAUUCCCGGCGCUGGCUGAGCGUCACCGGCCACCAGAGGGCGCUGCCGGGCUACCGGUCCGGUCGCCCGGGGAUCACAGCCUCAGCGGACAGGAAAUGAUCAACAGCUUCUCCUCUCGGAUCCACGUGGACUCAAGGAAUCUCCGGGGGGCAGGACAGGUGCAGAGCCGAGUGCAAAGGUGGAAUUCUAUUCCCAAAGCACAUCCCGCGCCCCUUUCCUCUGCAAAGUCCCGGAACCGCGUGACUCCGGAUGAGUUAUCGGGGCUGGAACCGAGGGUUCAGCCCCCUGCGCCUCUGUGUGUCCCGGUCCCUUUCCUCCAAGUAGACAGGAGGCAUCUCCUCAUCGGCUCAGUUCACAUUCCUCCAGGGGCUCAAAGGGGACCCAGUCCCUGUCUUGGGACACCAAGUCAGGCAGACUCCAGGAGAGAGGAAGGAAGAUGAUUCCCGCGCUCAGGUGGGCGGGUCCUGCUCCCUCUGUUGAAGACCUGAAGACAAAGAUUGACCCUCACCCUUCACCUCCCACCUCUUCCUCACCUUGGAAAAGAAAAACAUUCCUGAGAGGGGGGAUUUGUCAGCAGAAGGCUUUGGGACUAGAACUGCAGCAUCAGCUCUUCCUGGUUCCCCAGCGCCCAGGCCUACC